CACCAGACUCCUACGGGAGGCAGCAGUGGGGGAUAUUGCACAAUGGGGGGAACCCUGAUGCAGCGACGCCGCGUGGGUGAAGAAGUAUUUCGGUAUGUAAAGCCCUAUCGGCAGGGAAGAAAUUGGACGGUACCUGACUAAGAAGCCCUGGCUAACUACGUGCCAGCAGCCGCGGUAAUACGUAGGGGGCAAGCGUUAUCCGGAUUCACGGGGUGUAAAGGGAGCGUAGACGGCCAUGCAAGCCUGGAGUGAAAGCCCGGGGCCCAACCCCGGGACUGCUCUGGGAACUGUGCGGCUGGAGUGCGGGAGGGGCAGGCGGAAUUCCUGGUGUAGCGGUGAAAUGCGUAGAUAUCAGGAGGAACACCGGCGGCGAAGGCGGCCUGCUGGACCGCGACUGACGUUGAGGCUCGAAAGCGUGGGGAGCAAACAGGAUUAGAUACCCGAGUAA
rnacentral:rRNA from 1 species